UAGUUUUGUAGUGGUUUUCACCUUUUGUAUUGCUACUAAUUCAAUGCAACAAACCCUUCCUGAUAAACUUCCGGUAAUCUUGAAUGUUUAAAACGCCUUGGUUGAUUUUUCUUAUCUAGACAAACGAAUGCAGUUUCAAGCAUUUGUGUGUAGUCCUCCUAUGUAGGGGGCGCUGUAGAUUUUAGGAAGGAAUCUUUUCAUUUCAACGCAUCACAUUGACGGUUAGAAUCCACGGUGCAUAGAGCACACAUAAAUACGAGAUGGCAAGAUGUCUACCAUUUCUUUGAAACGUUAAAAUAUUGAACUGUUUUGAGUGAUUCAUUGAAAUUGGCAACGUGUAACAAAACCUACUUUUGUGUUAACUGAAGUGUAACGUACUUACGUAUGCAAAACAAUAGUGCGGAACUAGAUUGCCUGCCUAUUGGACAACAUAUGGGACUUUAGACUGAACGGGUCGCACUACCAGCAUGAUGGAGCAACGAAGUUGCAGCUCAGAGAAGAUAGGCGUAUUCAAGCGUCUACAGCGCACGUUUUUCCUUCAGUGUUUGGUUGUAUCGCUUUGCCUUGAAUACAGCCGUGCGUGUAGUACAUCCGCUAGUGGUGAUCUGCUAUUGUGCAGAUCGUGUGGACAUGAAAUUGCACUCGAGUCAGACGCCAGCUUUGUGCAUAGCCGCCUUGCACUUUCAUACCGAAACGACACAGUCGUCGGAGAGAAAAGGGUCCCUGUUCAGUUGUUUGAAAACCCUCAGGGUUAUCAGUUCGAAGUCAUAACUUUCAAGAGAGCAGACGUGCGGAAGCACUGGCCAGCAGAGAAGCACUUCACCUGGUUUCCCGGCUUCUCCUGGACAGUGGCGACAUGCCCGCGGUGCAGAGUCCACUUGGGUUGGGCGCUUCAACCCAGUGACUGGCCCUUAACAAUCGCCACGGAGCAGUUCGAAGACUCCCAGCAGACUUUUGUGGCAUUGAUCAUCCAGAGGCUGCUUCGGGAACAUUUUGCUUCUUCACUCCUCGUUACCCCAAAGUCCUUCAGAAGCUGA
rnacentral:lncRNA from 1 species